rnacentral:rRNA from 1 species
UACGUAGGGGGCUAGCGUUGUCCGGAAUCAUUGGGCGUAAAGCGCGUGUAGGCGGUCCGGUAAGUCCGCUGUGAAAGUCGGGGGCUCAACCCUCGAAUGCCGGUGGAUACUGGCGAGCUAGAGCACGGUAGGGGCAGAUGGAAUUCCCGGUGUAGCGGUGGAAUGCGUAGAGAUCGGGAAGAAUACCAGUGGCGAAGGCGUUCUGCUGGGCCGUUGCUGACACUGAGGCGCGACAGCGUGGGGAGCAAACAGG